rnacentral:rRNA from 1 species
GCUAAUACUUGACGGGAAACGCCCUCAGUCGAGUGUGUUCCUCCGGGAGCAUAAUCUACUGAGGAGGGGAGGAUCCUUAUGGUCCUUUCAAUAUAUUACCACUUCUUUGUGAAUAAGGGUGGAUUAUAUGCCAAGAGAAUUGUAGAAAUCGAAAGAUUUUCACAAGUCAUCAUUAAGAAUAUCUGACCUAUCAACUGGUUGUUGGUAAGGUAGUGGCUUACCAAGGUGAUAACGGGUAACGAGGAAUAAGGGUUCGACAUCGGAGAGGGAGCUUUAGAAAUGGCUACCACUUCUAAGGAAGGCAGCAGGCGCGAAAAUUACCCAAUCUUAACAACUGAAGGAGGUAGUGACGACAAUUAACGCUUUCCCUCGCAUUUUGUGAGGAUUGCCGGAAUGAUCACGACAUAAACCAUCGUGAGAAAGCGAUUGGAGGGCAAGUCUGGUGCCAGCAGCCGCGGUAAUUCCAGCUCCAAUAGUGUAUUGUAAAGUUGUUGUGAUUAAAACGCUCGUAGUUGAAUGUAAACAAUCGAGGCAUGAUUUACGUUCUCUGGCGUGUGAGCUUGCUCAUUGUCAGUAGGACCGCAAUCAAUGAAUGUCUCACUAUAAGCGGGAGUUUGAUUCAGUUCCAAACUCUUUUACUUUGAUUAAAUCAAGGUGCUUAAAGCAAAAUCUUCUGUUAAUGAAUGAUGAAGCAUGGUAUAAAACGAAAAACAGAACAGAAAUCAAUAUUGAAUUAUGAGGAUGGCUUGCCAUUCGAAUUUUUCGGUGUUUUGUUUUGUUUAAAACAAGAUUAAGAGAAAUGAUUAGGGUGAUUUAGAUAGGAACGGGAGAGGUGGAAUUCCAUGAUCGUUUCGAGAUAAACGAGAGCGAAAGCAUUUCACUGAAUUCAUUUCAUUAAUCAAGAACGAAAGUCAGGGAAUCAAAGACGAUUAGAUACCGUCGUAGUCCUGACCAUAAACGAUGUCAACUAAGGAUUGGAUAAGAAAUUUUCGAAGUACGGGUUUCUAAUAUCAACAGGCGACAGCCUGGCGAUUCUGAAACUGUCUUCAAUUCUUCCCUUAUUCAGGACUUGAUGAGAAAUCAUUAAGUGAAUGGACUUCAGGGGGAGUAUGGUCACAAGGCUGAAACUUAAAGGAAUUGACGGAAGGGCACACCAGGAGUGGAGCCUGCGGCUUAAUUUGACUCAACACGGGAAAACUUACCAAGACCGAACGGUGUAAGGAAUGACAGGUUACUGGGUCUUUCAUGAUUCAUCGGGGAGU